UGGGGAAUUUUGGACAAUGGGCGCAAGCCUGAUCCAGCCAUUCCGCGUGCAGGACGAAGGCCUUCGGGUUGUAAACUGCUUUUGUACGGAACGAAAAGGUCUUCUCUAAUACAGAGGGCCCAUGACGGUACCGUAAGAAUAAGCACCGGCUAACUACGUGCCAGCAGCCGCGGUAAUACGUAGGGUGCAAGCGUUAAUCGGAAUUACUGGGCGUAAAGCGUGCGCAGGCGGUUUUGUAAGACAGAGGUGAAAUCCCCGGGCUCAACCUGGGAACUGCCUUUGUGACUGCAAGGCUGGAGUGCGGCAGAGGGGGAUGGAAUUCCGCGUGUAGCAGUGAAAUGCGUAGAUAUGCGGAGGAACACCGAUGGCGAAGGCAAUCCCCUGGGCCUGCACUGACGCUCAUGCACGAAAGCGUGGGGAGCAAACAGGAUUAGAUACCCUGGUAGUCCACGCCCUAAACGAUGUCAACUGGUUGUUGGGAAUUCAUUUUCUCAGUAACGAAGCUAACGCGUGAAGUUGACCGCCUGGGGAGUAC
rnacentral:rRNA from 1 species